UAAUAAUUCUGUAUGAAUUACAGUCACGCUCUCUUCCUCCCUCUAUCCUCGCCAUCUCCUCAUCCCUACCUCCAGCCACAGCUCCAUUGCGACUCUCCCCAAUCGCUGUCGUCUCCACCACCACCAGCCUGCUCUAUCACCGCCCUAUCUAUCACCACCUGCUCCUCUUUUACUUCCACCACAGCCUUCAGCCAUCUCUUCAUUGCUAACAUCUCAAUCCGAUCUCGAUCCACCGCCAUCAUCCCACCACAGCCGCUUCACCUCCCGGCCGCGGCCCCACCACCGUAGAUCUGCUCGAUUUGGUUUGAUUGGACUCGGACUUCUCAAUACGUACCGCCGAAGAAUAUUGGUGUUGGCCUCUCACACAGUCCUCAUGCCCACUCCCCACAACAAAAACCUUGGCUUCCUCAGGCUUUGACCGUCGACAUAUUACCGACGUAGCCCGAAGAACCUUCUGUAUUCGGCUUGUUACUCCCAUUGAUGGACAUACUGGCGGUCUCUCGAUUUUCGGAUAUCAUGUAUGUCUAGUUUUGGUUUGGGCUAUUUAGCGACUGAAUAGCUCGGAUUUCCUUGCUUUUUCAUUUUAGUUUGUUUAAUGCGAGGUUUGUUGUGUAUUUACUUUCAAUAAUGGACGACUCUACGUUUAUCCGCGGUUUGUCUUGUAUGCCUCUUUAGACAACUAUUCUGUUAUUCGGGAUGCCU